rnacentral:rRNA from 1 species
UGGGGAAUUUUGGACAAUGGGCGAAAGCCUGAUCCAGCCAUGCCGCGUGAGUGAAGAAGGCCUUCGGGUUGUAAAGCUCUUUUAGUCGGAAAGAAAGAGUUGCAAUGAAUAAUUGUGAUUUAUGACGGUACUGACAGAAAAAGCACCGGCUAACUACGUGCCAGCAGCCGCGGUAAUACGUAGGGUGCGAGCGUUAAUCGGAAUUACUGGGCGUAAAGCGUGCGCAGGCGGUUAUGCAAGACAGAUGUGAAAGCCCCGGGCUUAACCUGGGAAUUGCGUUUGAAACUACAAGACUAGAGUGCAGCAGAGGGGAGUGGAAUUCCAUGUGUAGCAGUGAAAUGCGUAGAGAUGUGGAAGAACACCGAUGGCGAAGGCAGCUCCCUGGGUUGACACUGACGCUCAUGCACGAAAGCGUGGGGAGCAAACA